rnacentral:lncRNA from 1 species
GCUGCAGAUGGGGCCUGAGAUGACAAACACUUCUGAGACAGGUUCUGAAUUCAGCAUGGUUUACUUUGCUGUGAGAUAUCGCUCAACACUGUAAAUUUUUUCUUUUCAGGUGGUCAGGUAGAAAGCACUAUUUGGAUGGACUUCACCUUGGAUUUCCUACUUCUGGAUGAAAUUAGGGAAAUCAUCUGAUACUCAAAGAGGAGGCAUGAUGGCAGCCAAACCACUCAGUGAGAGUGCUGGGAUGAGAACUCAGAUCUCCUGGGAUCUUUCCACUCCAGUCCUCUGUUAAUCUUCAUCUAUUUCUCCAUGUCCAUCAGUAUCAAGCACAGAAUUCUACAGUCUUUUCGUAGAGAUCGACCAAAAGAUGGCAGCCAGCUGUGUUUGUCCUCAAGCAUCCCUAUGGGGAAUCAAGGACACAAUGCAUGUUGAGCACUUGGUAUGUGUCAGGAGCUGGGUAAGUGGCAUUUUCCUUUGCUCUUUCUCAGGACACCCCACUGGCAGCUCCUGGCAGCCCCUCAGGGAAACCUUACAGGGGGUCCUUCCAGGUAGAAGAGCAACUCCUUUAUCUUGGCAGGCAGGGCUCACCCAUGUUUGUGGCCUCAGAAGGACCUGCUGGAUGGCUUAGCACCUGGACAGCAGGCUGUGGUCUCGCAGUCCCUUUCAGAGCAGCAUCUGUUCCGCUGGGCUCCUAUCAAGCUCUCUGGGGGCAGCUCUGCCCUUGCACCACUUUUUUAAAGAACAGCCCACCCAUUGCUCUAUGGGGAUAGGGGGACCUACCACUUACUUAACUAAUUUACUUUUCAGUAAGACUGAGAAGGGAAAAAAUGAGUCAUGAGCUGAGGCUGGGGGCCCAGCUCUUGCCCCACAGAGGGUCACUAUGCAGUGCCAUGAGGUGGGUCAUUUCUAGAGCAAACUUCGCUCCCCUUGGCUUGGCCCAACUUUUAAUAAGUCCACACUGACUCAUUCUCUUUUGCUUCAAGGAAACUGUUAAAUUCACUAGAACUUGCCAUGGUGUGACAGUGUAGAGCCCAUCCGUUCUUCCUGGCAUUGUCUGGUUUUACAGACAGAACAUAUUUGGUGAAAGCCCCAAGAUUUUAUGUCCUGUCUCUAUAGGUUGUGAAUUUUCUUGAGUAAUCUCUGUUCCAAAUAUUCUGCUUUACUGAUCCUAGAAACCACCCACAUGAAAAUGUUUUAGUAUGUAUUUUUUCUCUGACAGCCUCAACUCCCCAUGUUCUGCCAGCCCAUGGGCUUUCUUCAGAAGUGGUCAGGGUACCCAUUGGGUGUGUGGGUACCAUCAAGGACAUUGAGCUAUUUAUGUUUGGGGAGUCCUUCUCCCUGGGAGGCAGAGCCAGUCUACCUCUACAGAGUUAGCAGUGGUAGAUAUUCGUUUCCUAGUCCAGACUUUAAAAUGGAAGCUCGUCAUACAAAAAAAGCAGGAACCACACAGAAUGCAUUCUGGCACAGGGAUGGCUCCAUCCAGCUUACUGGCGGACUCAGAGCACUUUCCAGCUCUCACUGUCACUGCGGCAGAGGUGACAAGCUGCAGUGUCUGUGCUCAGCAGAAGCUGCUCUGGGGCGUUACCAGACCAGUUCUCCAGCACAAUUUGGCUAUUUCCCCAGGCUGACUAGCCCCAGAGCCUGGUCCUAUGACCGUUCUGCAAAUUCUACGAACCAGAGCCUACUUCACAGGUCAGCAACCUGUGUAGUCACACAGGGCCCCAGGCGCAGCACGAUCCUGUGCUUAAAUGCUCUUCUGUCCGGCUUCCAACCCUUCAAAUUUUUGACCAAGAAGCUUCACAUUUCCAUUUUGUACUGGGCCCUGCCAAUUACAUGGCCAAGCCUGCUGUAAGCUAGCUUGGCCAUACUUUAGGUUAAGCAGUUCUUAACCUUUUGUGUGCCACAGAGUCCUUUGAUGAUCCGGUGAAGCCUAUGAAGUAUAUAAAGAAUCUUUUUAAAUGCACAAAAUAAAAUACAUAGGAGGCUAAUUAUAUUAAAAUAUAGUCAAAUAUUUUUUUAAAUAACGAAUAUACGAUAGUAUAGUAUGUGUGCUUUUUUACUAGUGCCUUAAAUAAAACCACCAGCAACAACUGAAAUGGGACUUGAAAAUAUCUAUGGCUUCUAAAGGCAAUAAAGUCACAGGUAUCUGACAUGUCCACAUUUAUAACUUAAGGAAAUGCUAAAUUCGGUGAGAGAUUUUUUUUCAUUGAUCUAUCCAAGUCACAGAGCUCUAGUUUUUUAAAUGAAAAUUUAAUUUUAAAACAAUUAAAAUUUAAUCUAAAUAAAUUCCUUUUCUGCUUCAAUCGGCCAAAGCUAGUAUGUGCUGCUUACAAAGAGAAGCCUGAAGGAUACAGGACCCCAAUGGGACCCAGGCCCCCAGGACCAGCCUUGCAAACACAACAAUCAGAGUGGCCCCAGGUGAGUCAAAGAUGUAUCCAACGUGGCUCCGCCUCAGUGUGAGGAUCAAUCACAUGGGCCACUGAGUCCUCUCACCAGGCUUUGCCUCUAGGUACUUUCAGAUGCCAACAGAUGCCAACCCACCAAGAGAUGUUCUGGAAGGUAUCAUUCAUCCUGCAUCCAAAGACACAGAGAGCACUGGUCCAGGAGCCAGAAUACCGUGGUUCUGGUUCAGUUACGCAACUACUGUGGGCAAGCAGACUCUUCAAGCCCUGGAUUCUCAGCUACUGUUCCCUCCUAACAAAUGUGGGUUAAAUUAAAGAAUACAUUUGAAACGUC